rnacentral:rRNA from 1 species
GAAUCUUCCGCAAUGGACGAAAGUCUGACGGAGCAACGCCGCGUGAGUGAAGAAGGCCUUCGGGUCGUAAAACUCUGUUGUUAGGGAAGAAUAAGUGUCGGAGUAACUGCCGGCACCUUGACGGUACCUAACCAGAAAGCCACGGCUACAUACGUGCCAGCAGCCGCGGUAAUACGUAGGUGGCAACCGUUGUCCGGAAUUAUUGGGCGUAAAGCGCGCGCAGGCGGUUUCUUAAGUCUGAUGUGAAAGCCCCCGGCUCAACCGGGGAGGGUCAUUGGAAACUGGGAAACUUGAGUGCAGAAGAGAAGAGCGGAAUUCCACGUGUAGCGGUGAAAUGCGUAGAGAUGUGGAGGAACACCAGUGGCGAAGGCGGCUCUUUGGUCUGUAACUGACGCUGAGGCGCGAAAGCGUGGGGAGCAAACA